rnacentral:tRNA from 1 species
GCCGGCAUAGCUCAGUGGUAGAGCAGCUGAUUCGUAAUCAGCAGGUCGAGGGUUCAAGUCCCCCUGCCGGCUCCA